rnacentral:rRNA from 1 species
UACGUAGGGGGCAAGCGUUGUCCGGAAUUAUUGGGCGUAAAGAGCGCGUAGGCGGUCCGAUAAGUCGGCUGUGAAAGUCAGGGGCUCAACCCUUGAAAGCCGGCCGAUACUGUCGGACUAGAGUCCGGAAGAGGCAAGUGGAAUUCCCGGUGUAGCGGUGAAAUGCGCAGAUAUCGGGAGGAACACCAAUGGCGAAGGCAGCUUGCUGGGACGGUACUGACGCUGAGGCACGAAAGCUAGGGUAGCAAACGGG